AAGGAUUCGCAGGUAGCGACUCCGAACCAUCACCCCGAGGGCUUGAAGAUAACCAAGCACAGGGAAGAGAAGCACUGGGCUGGGGGCCCAAGAGAUCUUUUAUUUUUUAUUUAUUUUUAUUUUUUCCAUGACCCUCCACCACUUGCUUACUGCCCUCAUGUAAUUUUUCCGGUUUGAGGUUUCAUCUGCAAAAUGAGAGGUUUGGAGCAGAAGACUUGAGCAGCUUUCAGGCUUCAGGGUUCUAGGAUUCGCGUGGAGUCUGUCUGCAAACUGCUACCCUACAGUGAAAGCUUUCCUGAUCCUGCUGCUUCUAUGGGCGCAGCAGACUUCCUAUGAAGGGGCCUUGUGCUCGAGGCUGUGUGGGCCGGCUGAUUUCUAAUGUACUCCGAGUUAGAACAGGACCCCUGGGUCUAUACCACUUGUGAGUACUUUAGGAAGUAUUAAUUGACGGAGGGCUACAGGUUCCAAACACCUUGUUUUAAAAUGUUAUUUCCAAGGUUUGGUCGCAACCCAUGCAUGUGCAACAAAUCUAUUGAGCCCCUGGCAUGGGUACACCCCCACUAUGACAUAAGCAGUCAAGGGCUGCUUGGAGUCUAUGUGGUGGAUGCACUUAAAUGAGUACGACCGUAAGUAGUAAGUACUCUGCUGGAGGAAUGUAGCAGAUGCCUUGGGUCUAACGUCCUGGGCACCCAGGAGGAAUGUCACACAAAGAUCUGGGUCAUGGAUGGCUGAGUUUGUUGCAGCACAUGUCAAGCACGUGCCCUCCACGCAGUAGAUGGCCAGCAGUGCUUGCUGACUGAAUGCCUGAAUGUAUACAGGCGGAUGGAGUGUUGGGUAGCUGAGCGCAAUGCCUACAAUGUUUCUGAGCACCUGACACCUGUUUUCACACAGUCUCAGCAGACCAAACCGAAAACCAUGGCUGCCACGGGAGACUGAAUCGUAGUGGGGUGAAGGCGGAAGCAGGGAGAUCUUAGUGAUUUGGACCAAAGGGAAGGCAUGAAGAUAAGGAGAACUGGAUGGGCUCAACGUAUAAGUUCUGCAUCUUCUGUAUAAAAUUUGCUGACACCCAGGACACCCUGAGUGCUUGUGGCUAGUUGGUUUCUUCUUAGAGUACCUGCACACUGUUCUUUCCUUCCAAGAGAGCUGUGUGAUUUCCAAGCAUCAGUUUGCUUUCAAAUUUGUGUAGACUAGCUGUAUUGAAAAUUAAGUUAAAUUUCGUUUUUUUAAAGGUUUUAUUUAUUUAUUUAGGAGGAAGAGAGAGUGUAUGCACAAGCAGGGGAAAGGGCAGG